rnacentral:rRNA from 1 species
GACGAACGCUGGCGGCGUGCCUAACACAUGCAAGUCGAACGGGGGUAUUUAUUUCGAUGAAUACCUUAGUGGCGAACGGGUGAGUAACGCGUGAGCAACCUAUCCUUAAGAGGGGGAUAACAUCUGGAAACAGAUGCUAAUACCGCAUAAGACCACACUGCCGCAUGGCAGAGGGGUCAAAGGAGCAAUCCGUUUAAGGAGGGGCUCGCGUCCCAUUAGAUAGUUGGUGAGGUAACAGCUCACCAAGUCAGCGAUGGGUAGCCGAGCUGAGGGGCUGAUCGGCCACACUGGAACUGAGACACGGUCCAGACUCCUACGGGAGGCAGCAGUGGGGAAUAUUGGGCAAUGGGGGGAACCCUGACCCAGCAACGCCGCGUGAGGGAAGAAGGCCUUCGGGUUGUAAACCUCUGUCAUUAGGGAAGAAGAAAGUGACGGUACCUAAUGAGGAAGCCCCGGCUAACUACGUGCCAGCCGCCGCCGUAACAC